rnacentral:rRNA from 1 species
UACAGAGGGUGCGAGCGUUAAUCGGAAUUACUGGGCGUAAAGGGCGCGUAGGCGGCCUUGUAAGUCCUGUGUGAAAUCCCCCGGCUCAACUGGGGAACUGCACAGGAGACUGCUUGGCUUGAGUUCGGGAGAGGGAAGCGGAAUUCCGGGUGUAGCGGUGAAAUGCGUAGAUAUCCGGAGGAACACCGGUGGCGAAGGCGGCUUCCUGGACCGACACUGACGCUGAGGCGCGAAAGCCAGGGGAGCAAACGGG